AAAUAAGUUAAAACUUUCAACAACGGAUCUCUUGGUUCUGGCAUCGAUGAAGAACGCAGCGAAAUGCGAUAAGUAAUGUGAAUUGCAGAAUUCAGUGAAUCAUCGAAUCUUUGAACGCACAUUGCGCCCAUUAGUAUUCUAGUGGGCAUGCCUAUUCGAGCGUCAUUUCGACCAUUAAGCCCUGUAGCUUAGCGUUGGGA
rnacentral:rRNA from 2 species